UACGAAGGGGGCGAGCGUUGUUCGGAAUCACUGGGCGUAAAGGGCGCGUAGGCGGCCCUCUUAGUCGCGUGUGAAAGCCCCGGGCUCAACCUGGGAAUUGCAUUCGAUACUGGAUAGCUAGAGUUCGGCAGAGGGAAGCGGAAUUUCCGGUGUAGCGGUGAAAUGCGUAGAUAUCGGAAGGAACAUCAGUGGCGAAAGCGGCUUCCUGGACCAGAACUGACGAUCAGGCACGAAAGCGUGGGGAGCAAACAGG
rnacentral:rRNA from 1 species